GAGAUGUUGGGUUAAGUCCCGCAACGAGCGCAACCCUUGUCAUUAGUUGCUACGAAAGGGCACUCUAAUGAGACUGCCGGUGACAAACCGGAGGAAGGUGGGGAUGACGUCAAGUCCUCAUGGCCCUUAUGCCUAGGGCUACACACGUAAUACAAUGGUACAUACAGAGGGAUGCAACCUGGUGACAGUAAGCAAAUCUCAAAAAGUGUAUCUCAGUCCGGAUUGGAGUCUGCAACUCGACUCCAUGAAGUCGGAAUCGCUAGUAAUCGCGGAUCAGAAUGUCGCGGUGAAUACGUUCCCGGGCCUUGUACACACCGCCCGUCACACCAUGGGAGCGGGUUUUACCAGAAGUAGCUAGCCUAACCGUAAGGAGGGCGGUUACCACGGUAGGAUUCGUGACUGGGGUGAAGUCGUAACAAGGUAGCCGUAGGGGAACCUGCGGCUGGAUCACCUCCUU
rnacentral:rRNA from 14 species